CGGCGGACGGGUGAGUAACACGUGGGUAACCUACCUAUAAGACUGGGACAACUUCGGGAAACCGGAGCUAAUACCGGAUAAGAUAUCGAACCGCAUGGUUCGAUAGUGAAAGAUGGUUUUGCCAUCACUUAUAGAUGGACCCGCGCCGUAUUAGCUAGUUGGUGAGGUAACGGCUCACCAAGGCAACGAUACGUAGCCGACCUGAGAGGGUGAUCGGCCACACUGGAACUGAGACACGGUCCAGACUCCUACGGGAGGCAGCAGCC
rnacentral:rRNA from 1 species